rnacentral:tRNA from 1 species
GGAGAGGUGGCAGAGUGGUCGAACGCGCAUGACUCGAAAUCAUGUAUACCUGCAAGGGUAUCGAGGGUUCGAAUCCCUCCCUCUCCGCCA